CGACCGGCGCACGGGUGAGUAACACGUAUGCAACCUGGCCGCCACAGGGGGAUAACCCGCGGAAACGCGGCCUGAUACCCCGUGACGCCACCGGAGGGCAUCCUCCGGUGGCCAAAGGAGCGAUCCGGUGGCGGAUGGGCAUGCGGCGCAUUAGCUAGACGGCGGGGUGACGGCCCACCGUGGCGACGAUGCGUAGGGGUUCUGAGAGGAAGGCCCCCCACACUGGGACUGAGACACGGCCCAGACUCCUACGGGAGGCAGCAG
rnacentral:rRNA from 1 species